rnacentral:lncRNA from 1 species
GUGCGUUUCCCUCUGUGCUUUCCGAGCAUGUUGCACAUUCCAUGCAUUCCUAAUCACUGGACCGUAUGGACUUCAUGUUCAUCCCUCCUAUCAGACUGCAAUGCAAGCUCCUUGUGAGUAGGAACUUUUUCUCCUUCUCCUUUGCAUCCACAGUGCCGAACAUAAGGGCUGGGAGCCAGAAAUCCAGGCCUGCCAACUAUGGCUUGAGAGAGGCAGCACCGGGAGACAGGGCAAGCACGGACCUGGCUGUCAGCAAACCUGGGUUCCAGGCCAAGCCCCACCAGGAGGAGCUGGGAAGCCCUGGCUGACUGCCAGCCCCAGGUGCUUAUCCACAGCCUGUAGUUUCCUUAUUCUGCGUGGUGCUAAGUUUCUAUGAUGACCCACUUCUCUGAACUUUGAGCAUGGAUCGUGAGUGCCUUUACCACCAACCACUCUGGGCUGCCUUAGGAAAGGGAGAUGUGGUGGACGAGGAACGAAAGGUAAAGGGAACUCCUCCAUUCUCAGCCCAUGUGGUUUGAGAGGGCUGACUCACCUCCAGCUCCACGGUGGGCAUGAAGCCCAGGCAUAUGCCCACAAGCAGCUGUCCACAAUGACAAGUUCGAGGAUGGGCACGAGGUCCAAUACUGCCAACGAGAGUUAGGCCUGGGGCAUUACAUGGAUCUGUUGGAAUGAAAAAAGCAUGUUCUACUUCUGGAGUCACUCUGGAAGUGGAGCCUAGAGCCACUGAUGGCCGUUUUAUCACAUGGAGAAGAAACCUGCCUAAGAAUGGAGCCAAAGGAAAGCAGGGCCAAGAGAUGGCUCCAGACUGGACUCUGAUCACAUCAUCUGAGUCCCUGAGACCAGUAUUAACCCUUGAUCUUUCAAGUAUGUAAGUCAAUAAAGGUCUGUGUUGC